rnacentral:lncRNA from 1 species
GCAGUGGGAAAGAUGAGCAGUGGUGUAGCUAUAUGGAAACUCACCCAAUCCCCAAUAGCAAACACAGCAUCCUUAGCAAUGCCAUGGCUUUGGACUUCCAGGGACACUUGGUGUUGGAGUCAUCUGGCCACAGCUGCCAGUCGUGCAAAUGACUUCUGCAGAUUGCAUUUCUCCUAUUUUGAAACUGGUAUAUAGGUCAAGCAGCUGAACUAGAGAAACAUCCUUUGGUACAGAAAAAGGAGUCUACAGAACCAUGGCUGAUUUUGUGCACCUUGUCUGCGUGAAGAAUAAUCCUAGUGUAAUACCUGCAUUUCGGAUACUACUUUACCCAGUUGAGCCAGGGCAGUUGAUGGCUCCAUUUGUCAGAUAAUUGCCUACUGAGGAGUUUUCAAGAAUAUGCAAACAGAAGAUGACUUUUUCUCUUGUCUCCACCUGAUUGUUUCCUUGCCUGCAAGCUGAAUCUCUGCCGUCCUCUUCUUUAUUUUGCUUUGCACAAACAUUCUCACAGGAUGUGUUGGUAACCAGUGGGUGACUGGCUGUGGUCUUAGGACAGGGUAGAUAAGAAGAGAACAUUUCAACACUGGGUUGCAGCAAGACAUCUUAUAGUCAUAACACAGUUGGUCUCCCUUGUUGCUGUGCCAGGGACAGUGCAAACCACUGAUUCAAAUUCUCCCCAGAUAUAAUAGGUAUUUACAGUUACCAUACAAUUCACAAUGCUCAGGUAGGCAGAUACAAAAAAAAACAAACAAACCAAACUGUCCAUGACAGGGAAAGACAUCUGUUCCUCUUUGCUAGUAGCAGUUUCUCCCAGAACACCCAAUUAUUCAAAUAAUUACAAAAGUAAGUUUUGCUUGAUGGCUUCUGAGCUUCAUUGUUAUGGCACAAAAUUAAAAGAAAGGUGGAUUUUUUGAAGGAGGAGAACCUAAUAUGAAUAUUGUCCUAAGCCAGUAGACAAAGACUGAAAUAAAGGGAAUUAUUUCAUCA